CCCCGUCCGCGUGCACGCACUGAUGCAGCGCGCGCGCGCGCCGGCCGGCGCCGAGGACGCGGGAAGACCACGUGCCGCGAUGCAGCGACCAGGCCCGUGUGGGAGACAGACUUCAAUCCCGGAGCCCCAAAGCAACGUGCACUUACACACGGACUGCGCGGCAGCCAGGAAACAUGACACCUGCGAAGACCCGGACUGGAGGACUGUGACUCUAACCUGAGCCCUUUCAAUAGGAUCAGCCCAAUACUGAAGGCCUCACCCUGGACACACUGGGUCACCGUGAAAGCAACCUGACCACACUCAUCCCCCCGGAGCGCUCUUGCCUCGGCAGGGCAGCCGGUCAGGAGGCGGGUGAGGAAGAGCAUCAGGGCGUCCGGGGCCCACAGGAAGCUGGACGUUCUGAGGUCAGUCUUUAUCCUGGACCACGAAAACAGUUUCAAGGACAACCUGUACGUCAGAAGGUGUAGACCUGCCGCAUCCCUCUACCCCUGACUACUUAAAAUUGAAAUGAAACCUAAUCCCCCCUUCCUUCAAAGAAGAAGGCAUCCAGGGCAGUGCAGCCCUUCCAAGGACAGUAAGCCUGCGGUGAAAUCACUCAGCUGCCUUCCUCAUUUCUGCCCUAAAAACUCUUUGGGGUGGUGAUACUCCUGAAACAAAGGUGGCUUUGGAUGAA